GGGAGGAAGGUUGUGCUGCACCAACACGACUCACAGCAUCCUCUCUCUGGUUCAGCCUCGGCCACUGCAUGCUGAGUGCAUUAGGAUGAAGUUUACAGCCAUAACCCCUGUGACUGGUACAAGGGCAGUGUCCUACAGACACCGAGCUGGAGCACACCAAGAGUAAAGGAACUACUGCAAGGCACAGUUUUGAGCAUUGCUUGUUGCAUCCUUUUGAGUCAACGCCACAGGUUUUUGAAGAACAAGGUGAUACCCAAGUUCUCUUGGAAAGUGGCUUUUCUCCAGGAUUAUGUGAUCCAUGUACAUGCUGAGCUGUGACCAGUCAUGGACGUCACAUGGAGGAAGUGAGGAGCUGAUUCUGCAAGGCAAAGUCACUGGGACUUGAGGAACCAGGAAUAAAAUGACACAAAUAUAAUCAAAGAAGAAAUAAAAGCCUGGAAAAAUAAUGUUAGCCAACAUUGUUUUAUGAACAUCAGUCUCCUUGGACAGAUCUGAUUACGUCCUCAGACCCAUGGAGACUGGCUAACCUGUUAAUGGACAGCUCUUAAUACAGCUCAAGAGGAGACUUCUGAUGAUAUCCCAGGCAGCUGGAAGAUGACUGAAGUUAAAAAGUAAAGUUCCAUGCCUUGUGAAUGGGCUCCAGAGUCCAGGGGCUUAUUUUUCUUCCCACAUCCCAGGUCUCACAGGUUGAGUCUCUAGACCACCCUCUGCAUCAAGCUCCCUCCUUCUGAGAGCAGCUGGUUUGUGGUCUCCCAUGUCCACGUUGUCCCUUGAGGCUCUGGUCAGACCAACAAUGAUUUCCAGCAGGUAUCUGAGGAGAUCACAACUAUACUUGCCCAUGGAGGCAGUAAAAACCAACAGUGUAAGGAUCUAGAUUUGCCUUCUUCCUGCCCUGCUUGCAGAGAUAUCUGGGGGAUAAUUUCACACCUGCACUUGUAUUUUCGACUGUGAUGUAUCUCCAGAUGUGCUGACUGUAUUAAACAAAGUCCCCUCUAGCCCUGUGAGAUGCCUCUCCUCACUCUUAUUAGCAUCUGCAACCAUGCUGACGUCCUUGAAAUACUUUCUGGCUUCCAGCAUUGGCUCUCCCCCUCUCCCUCUCGCUGGGCAAGUGUGAAGAUAUGUGUGAAUAUUCCCCAAAAGUAAUAGUUGUGGAGCCAUCCUCCUAUCACAACCAGCUGGUGCCAAUGCUACAGCAUUUGUCCAGCUGCCUGCACCUUCCUCAGUCACUGUCAGCCACUCUGCACUGCAGCCCAGGCUCCUUCCAAACACAGCAAAAGGAGGAGAAAUGCAAAUAUGCCCUGUGUGGCUUCAGGGUCUUGGAGAACAGUUUGGAAGAAUUGCCCUGGUUCAAGGCAUGAAAGGAGUCUCCUGCCUUGUGGCAGCACCCACAUUCACUAAGCCACAUUUUCCUGUGGCGGCUCGGGGGCUCUGCCUGCCUCCUUCAUGGCCUGGCAUCUCCACAGCAGCCCUCUAGCACGUCAAGAAGCCUGCUGGCCUUCCAUAGGAUCCAUCACCCCCCUCAGAUUGCCUUCUCCUGAGCCUUCACACCCUCCAGGCUCUACUUACGACAUGAACAUCGCAAAGGCAAGAACCAGCUUUUUCCACACCAUAAUUAAAAAGUACAUAAUCUUGACUUAGAAAGAGUGAGUUUGUUAUAAAUGGAA